rnacentral:sRNA from 1 species
CUUGGACCAUGGCGACCCAAGCGAAGCGUCCACGGGUGAGUGGCGGGCGCGGGGUCCAGCCUUUUCCUCCGCGCCUCACCCCUCCAACGCCCGCAGAACCGUCCGCCUGCGCCCCCUCCGCUCCCUCCCGCGGGUCCCGCGCCCCCUCUCCGCUCGUCCCCUCUUCCACCCAAAGCCCGUUCUGCGCGCGCGCCGCGGUCUCCUGCAGUUCCCAGCGGCCUCUCUGGGGGCCGGACCUGGUCACUGCGCGCACUUAUCUCAGGUGGCGGGGCCCGUGGACGGCGGCGACCCGGAUCCUGUGGCAGGCUUCCUGAGCUGGUGCCUGCGGGUGGGGCUGGAGCUGAGUCCCAAGGUGAGCGAGCGAGCGAGCGGGCGGGCGAGGACCCGCGGCGGGGCGCGGACUGCCCUGACCAGCCCUCCUCCUGUUCAGGUGGCGGUCAGCCGGCAGGGCACGGUGGCCGGCUACGGCAUGGUGGCCCGGGAGAGCGUGCAGGCCGGAGAGCUGCUGUUCAUGGUGCCGCGGGCCGCGCUCCUGUCGCAGCACACCUGCUCCAUCGGCGGCCUGCUGGAGCGAGAGCGAGUUGCGCUGCA